AUUUGAGAUCCGUGCUACUAAACUAAGCCACUCUGUAAGUUUAUUACCCACAAGUGCCCUUCUAAAAGAGAUGUUUAGGGGGCUAGUAGUCAACACUUGACCAUUGCAAAGGAUACACUUAUAUAUAGUCCUCGAAGUCCAUAUUUCUUCUUCUAAGCAAUCCUCUGGUGCUGAGCCUAUCCUUCAAGAGAUGCCAGAAAAAGACUCGGUGUUUGUUCUGACAGGCACUCCUCCAAAGCCAUCUGAAGGCUAGGUGAAUUUGGGAAUGUCCACUCAAUUGUGCAUAAGCCUUUCUUGUGGAGAAAACAGCAGACCCCCACGAAUAAGACCAAACAUCAUGGAGUUCAGAGAUGUGUACUGAUUGUAAGAUACUUUGCAAGUGUAAAGGAUGAAGAGCAGUAGAUUAACGGAAUGUAGUCCUAGCUUGCACCACUGUACUAACAGAAAGCACGUGAACCACACUCUGUGUACAUAUGUUAUUCUCUCAAAUUUUCAGGUCAAGAGCUUUUACAAUUGACAAGUGAGAACACAUAGUGGAUGUGUACCCAUGUAUUGUCUGAAAAGUGUGUCAAUGAGAUAAUUAAACAUUGGGUUUGUGUGAUUUAAACUAACUAAGAUGUCGAGUUGGUGUGGUGCAACAUGUAUCUUGGCUUGUGAAUGUGCAUGUGUUGAGUGCAUCAAAGUGAUCGACGGCAAUGGAGAAGGUCAAAUGAGGAGUUUGGGCUAAUGACCAUGCGGGUGAUAAAGACCGAACAUGCAUGGAGGCUUGAAUCGAGGGACCAAGAAGCUGGAGAAUGGACCAAGGAUAACUAGCACAUAUAUGCAAGAUAUGGCGAUGAGGACGGCAUUGACUGAAGUCAAGGCCAGGGUUGGACCAAGUCAAGGCGAGGUGUCACGAGCACUUGGUGGACUAUCGGAUUGAGGACAUAGAGGACAUGUCGAUAUCAAACUUUGUAGUGGCUAUGCAGCCUAAAAGGUUUGGAUUUCGGCCUCAAAGUCAUGGCCAUGGUAAUUUCUAGGGUUGGCCUCAAAAUCUUAGGAUAAGGGGUGGCACGUGGCAAUAUCUCCAAGAUAACAUUGAGGCUAAGUAAAUAGGUGGAGAAAUCGUGACCGUCGAAUGUGUAUUGGAUGUUUCAUUUAUGUAGUAUUGACCUUAUUGCCCCCAAGUGGGUUAGUAAGCUUAUUAUCAACUAAGAGCAGUUUGGGGAUUGUCCUAACAUUCUUUGCUUAGGCUAACCAAGUGUUCAUUGCAAGGGAAAUUAGAGCCAUAUGAAGAAUUUGCAUCAUGGAGGUGCCCAUGAGAUUUUGAUUAUGUUUCCAGCUGAUUGUAUCUCAUGUGCUGAUUUGGCCGCGUAUGCCCUGAAGUUAUCUAGGGUCCAAAUGAUCCUAUAUUUGUCCUCAUCUUCUGGGUUAAGAUUGGCUUCUUGGACAACACCCACAUAAAGCUAGAGCAAUCUGAUAGUACUUCUGCAUUAAGGUAGUUCACAUGUCACACACUCCACAAGCUAAUAAGCAGCUUUGGUUCUAAAGCCCACCUAUAUCUUGCAGCGUGUAUUGAGUAAGGUCAUAAUAGUUUUUUAUUGCCACCAACUAGUUGGUUAAUUUGAAAAAAGAAAGAAAGAAGUGGAA
rnacentral:lncRNA from 1 species